rnacentral:rRNA from 1 species
UGGGGAAUAUUGCACAAUGGGCGCAAGCCUGAUGCAGCCAUGCCGCGUGUAUGAAGAAGGCCUUGGGUUGUAAGUACUUUCAGCGAGGAGGAAGGCGUUAAGGUUAAUAACCUUAGCGAUUGACGUUACUCGCAGAAGAAGCACCGGCUAACUCCGUGCCAG